UGCACAAUUGAAUGGAAGCUAGCUUGCUUGUUUAAAAUAUAAGCUAGCUUGUUCAUUUAAAAUAUACUAGCAGGGAUUAUAAUUAUCAGUUACAUUGAGGUCUCCUUUGGUGGUCAAAUAUAAGCUAGCUUGUUCGUCUAAAAUAAGCGAAGCAAAGCUUUUUAACAGAUUUAGUUGAUAAGGAGGGUGGUUUGGGCAAUAAUAUGAUUGAACUUAAUAGAUGCUCAAAAUCCUUUUCUGUUACUAAUAUGGUAUCAUGGGUUGUAGAUAGUUUAAUUCAUAAAAUUGUGGUUGAUGGCUCAUUUCUGGCAGGAGGAGCAUGGGUGGCUUUUGAUGAAUAUAACAAUCAGGUGAUAACAAAAGCUGCAGGUUUUUUGCUUUGUCAGCUGCUACUGUGGAAGCAAAAGCAUGUUUUGAAGCUGUUAAAUGGUGUGUCGAUCGUCAAGUGAAGGCUAUUAAUAUCUUCGCGGAUUCUCCAGUUGCUUAUGACUUCAUCUGUUUCACUAAUGUUCAUAGAAAUGUAGUAGUAGAAGGGCAACAGCUGGUUGUAGACAAGGCAUCAAUUUUGUCUUUGGUUUGUACUAUUAUUUUAUAUGCUUUAAAGAGGAAGGAGAAGAAAAGAAGCUACAAAUAAGUUAAUGUUUAAUAAAGUUAAUUCGUGUUGCAUA